AUGGGGGGAACCCUGAUGCAGCGACGCCGCGUGCGGGAUGGAGGCCUUCGGGUCGUGAACCGCUUUUACAGGGGAGCAAGCUUUCGGGUGAGUUAACUUUGUGAAUAAGCACCGGCUAACUACGUGCCAGCAGCCGCGGUAAUACGUAGGGUGCAAGCGUUGUCCGGAUUUAUUGGGCGUAAAGGGCUCGUAGGCGGUUCGUCGCGUCUGGUGUGAAAGCCCGCUGCUUAACGGUGGGUUUGCGUUGGAUACGGGCGGGCUUGAGUGCAGUAGGGGAGACUGGAAUUCUCGGUGUAACGGUGGAAUGUGUAGAUAUCGGGAAGAACACCUAUGGCGAAGGCAGGUCUCUGGGCUGUUACUGACGCUGAGGAGCGAAAGCGUGGGGAGCGAACAGGAUUAGAUACCCUGGUAGUCCACGCUGUAAACGGUGGACGCUGGAUGUGGGGCCCAUUUCCACGGGUUCCGUGUCGGAGCUAACGCGUUAAGCGUCCCGCCUGGGGAGUACGGCCGCAAGGCUAAAACUCAAAGAAAUUGACGGGGGCCCGCACAAGCGGCGGAGCAUGCGGAUUAAUUCGAUGCAACGCGAAGAACCUUACCAGGGCUUGACAUGUUGACGAUCGCCUCA
rnacentral:rRNA from 1 species